UGCCAGCCGCCGCGGUAAAACGUAGGAGGCGAACGUUAUCCGGAUUUACUGGGUGUAAAGCGCGUGCAGGCGGGUUGGUAAGUUGCUUGUGAAAGCGCCCGGCUCAACCGGGCGAGGACGAGCGAGACUGCCGAUCUAGAGGCAGGUAGAGGCGUAUGGAAUUCCGGGUGUAGUGGUGAAAUGCGUAGAGAUCCGGAGGAACACCAGUGGCGAAGGCGAUACGCUGGGCCUGACCUGACGCUAAGACGCGAAAGCAUGGGGAGCGAACGGGAUUAGAUA
rnacentral:rRNA from 1 species